UACAGAGGUCCCGAGCGUUGUUCGGAUUCAUUGGGCGUAAAGGGUGCGUAGGCGGCGGGGAAAGUCUGAUGUGAAAUCCUGGGGCUCAACCCUGGAGCUGCAUUGGAUACUUCCUUGCUAGAGUACUGGAGAGGAAACUGGAAUUUACGGUGUAGCAGUGAAAUGCGUAGAGAUCGUAAGGAAGACCAGUGGCGAGGGCGAGUUUCUGGACAGUUACUGACGCUGAGGCACGAAGGCCAGGGGAGCAAACGGG
rnacentral:rRNA from 1 species